CUUACACAAAAAGGAUUACAGGAUCAAAAUAUCUUGGCACAUGAAAGGGUUAACUGUUCUGUGUAUAAGACCUUUUUUUUAAAAAAAAAUUUUAUUUAUUUUCUUGAGAGAGAGAGUGAGGGCACUCUCAAGUAGACUCCCUACAGAACAUGGAACCCAGGCAGGCCUGGAUCUCACAACCCUCAGAUCACUACCUGAGCUCAAAUGGAGAAGAUCUUUGUGUUAACUCUACCCAACUGGGACAAACAUGGGGACAUUUGCUCCUGGCACCUAGUGAACAGACACCAAAAAUGCUGCUAGACAUUUUGUAAUGAUUUGAUUUCUGAAUAUUCCUCCCCUUAACAAGGAAUCUUGGACAGAAGAAUCUAUUCUACCUAUCUGGGAUUUAGGUAAAUUUGUCUCAGACUUUCCAAUUUGACUUAUGAGAACAUAGAGAAAAACCACAAGAUUUCAGUCAUUAAAGAGUUUCUUCUUUCCUAUGAUCAUGAGUGUUACCUUAACUAUUUGCAAGCAGCCCAUUUCAAUUGCAUUUUAACUACCCAACAGCCAAACUCAACCCUCUUACUGGUUUCUACAAAAUCCCAGUAAGUAAAAUAUAUUAUAAAGCUGUCAAUUUUAAUGUAUUACUGUUAAAUGAUCAUAUCACAUAAGCUACUCCAUGGCUGACUUGCAAACUUGCAAAACCCCAUAAAAUUAUAUGCCUCCUUUCUAUUACCUUCUUUCUAUUAUCUUCCUAAUGUCUCUGCUUGGGCUUGGGAUUCUUUUAUUAUGAGCUUUUUCUAAGUUAGUUUAUAAAUUAGUUUUAACAAAAGUGUUAAAUAUCACAAUAAAAAAUUCUGGUACCAGGUACCGAGAGUAUAA
rnacentral:lncRNA from 1 species